AAGAUGCGACCGGCGCACGGUGAGUAACACGUAUCCAACCUGCCGAUAACUCCGGAAUAGCCUUUCGAAAGAAAGAUUAAUACCGGAUGGCAUACGAAUAUCGCAUGAUAUUUUUAUUAAAGAGUUUCGGUUAUCGAUGGGGAUGCGUUCCAUUAGUUUGUUGGCGGGGUAACGGCCCACCAAGACUACGAUGGAUAGGGGUUCUGAGAGGAAGGUCCCCCACAUUGGAACUGAGACACGGUCCAA
rnacentral:rRNA from 1 species